rnacentral:rRNA from 1 species
AUUGAACGCUGGCGGAAUGCUUUACACAUGCAAGUCGAACGAUGAACCUUAGCUUGCUAAGGGGAUUAGUGGCGAACGGGUGAGUAAUGUAUCGGAACGUAUCCAAUAAUGGGGGAUAACUAGUCGAAAGAUUAGCUAAUACCGCAUACGUCCUACGGGAGAAAGCUAGGGACCUUCGGGCCUGGCGUUAAUGGAGCGGCCGAUAUAUGAUUAGCUAGUUGGUGGGGUAAAGGCUCACCAAGGCGACGAUCAGUAGCUGGUCUGAGAGGACGACCAGCCACACUGGAACUGAGACACGGUCCAGACUCCUACGGGAGGCAGCAGUGGGGAAUUUUGGACAAUGGGCGAAAGCCUGAUCCAGCCAUUCCGCGUGAGUGAAGAAGGCCUUCGGGUUGUAAAGCUCUUUCGCAAGGGAAGAAAACUUAAGCUCUAACAUAGCUUGAGGUUGACGGUACCUUGAUAAGAAGCACCGGCUAACUACGUGCCAGCAGCCGCCGCGG